GAUGAAGAACGCAGCAAAAUGCGAUAAGUAAUGUGAAUUGCAGAAUUCAGUGAAUCAUCGAAUCUUUGAACGCACAUUGCGCCCGCCAGUAUUCUGGCGGGCAUGCCUGUUCGAGCGUCAUUUCAACCCUCAAGCACAGCUUGGUGUUGGGACUCGCGUUAAUUCGCGUUCCCCAAAUUGAUUGGCGGUCACGUCGAGCUUCCAUGGCGUAGUAGUAAAACCCUCGUUACUGGUAAUCGUCGCGGCCACGCCGUUAAACCCCAACUUCUGAAUGUUGACCUCGGAUCAUGUAGGAAUACCCGCUGAACUUAAGCAUAUCAAUAAGCGGAGGA
rnacentral:misc_RNA from 1 species